UACGGGGGGAGCAAGCGUUGUUCGGAUUUACUGGGCGUAAAGGGCGCGUAGGCGGCCAGCACAAGUCAGUUGUGAAAUCUCCGAGCUUAACUCGGAAAGGUCAACUGAUACUGUGCGACUAGAGUGCAGAAGGGGCAACUGGAAUUCCUGGUGUAGCGGUGAAAUGCGCAGAUAUCAGGAGGAACACCGGUGGCGAAGGCGGGUCUCUGGGCCGAUACUGACGCUGAGGAGCGAAAGCGUGGGGAGCGAACAGG
rnacentral:rRNA from 1 species